rnacentral:rRNA from 1 species
GACGUAGGGCGCAAGCGUUGUCCGGAUUUAUUGGGCGUAAAGAGCUCGUAGGCGGCUCGUUGCGUCGGCUGUGAAAACCCGCAGCUUAACUGUGGGCCUGCAGCCGAUACGGGCGGGCUAGAGUCCGGAAGAGGAGAGUGGAAUUCCUGGUGUAGCGGUGAAAUGCGCAGAUAUCAGGAAGAACACCUAUGGCGAAGGCAGCUCUCUGGGACGGUACUGACGCUGAGGCGCGAAAGCGUGGGGAGCAAACAGG